AAAAAGGCUCUUUUAAGAGCCACUCCAUAAACAAGAAAAAGGGCUGU
rfam:Patagioenas fasciata monilis isolate BTP2013 Sc31e1R_9177, whole genome shotgun sequence.